CGGUGCUGGCCCCACAUAUAAAGUUUUAAUUGUGGCCCUGAGGCUGGCCAAUAUACUGUUGACACAAGUAAUCCAUGAUCAAUCCAUAAAUCAAAAUUGGGGUGAGCUGAGACACUUCAAAGCACAAGACUUUACCUCAAAAUAAUCGUCAUGCCAAAGUGGCGUAUUUCGAUGUGGUGUAUCCUGAUCCCAUCCAGCAGCUGAGUAAACUGAAGCAUAGAAAGCAACUUGCCUGAAGUCGCAGAACAGGCACCUGAGCUGGACCUGUUUUAAAGACAGAGAAGGCGGGGCUGGGGCAGCAGGCGCGGAGCUCACGUGGCAAGAACGUCAAGGUCAUGUAGCUCAAAAUCUGCUCUCCCAGCCCUUUAGUCCUUGGGACACCCAACACAGGGGAAGAAACUGCUGGUCCUCUGAGGAGGUGAGAAGUAGCAGGAGAGAGAAAGAACCAGGAGGAUGAGGAGCUGUGGGUCAAGCCAGGAAACUUCCACCAGGGAGGCUGGGAGUCAGGACAAAAAGCACUGUCCAGAUGGUGGAGCCUCUAGGAGCCUGGGUCUCUUGGAGCGGACAGCGUGAGCAGAGCCCCAGCUGACCACAUUGGGCACAGAGCAUGUGUUUUAAGCUACUGAUAUUUGCAGGUGUUUGUUUCCUCUGUAUACCCCAAUCUAUCCUGAUUAUCCCAUUUCACAGAGGAGGAAACUGAGGCACAGAGAAGUAACUUGACUGAAGUCGUACAUCUAGGAGACGGUGGAGCCAGGAUUCAAAGUCAACCGUCUAUUAGUCCUUGCUGUUUAGAACCCUGGAAUGACUCAGAUGGCCAUCUUUUCUGAGGCUUCGCUCUUAGCUUUCUCACUGGGAGAAAUUUUACUCCUCCCUCCCCGACCCCAGACAUUUGGCAACGUCUAGAGAUAUUUUUGGUCAUCACAACUUGGGGGGUGGGAGGGGAGCUGCUGGCAUCGGGGUGAGUAGAAGCCAGGUACGCUGCUAAGAGUCCUAUCGUGCACAGGACGUCCCCCACCACAAAGAAUUACCCAUCCCCAAACUUCAAUAGCACCGCUGUGGAGAAGCCCCAACUUACACGAAAUUCCUCUGUUGCUUAAACUAACCGCAGUUGGCUGCUUCUGCUUGCAGCUGGAGACUUAGUUGGGUUGUUAUGAGUUAGUUAAUUAAUUAAUUGCAAACAGUGGGGUGUCGGUGCUGGGCCUGGUCCUAUUUGACAUUUGCCUAACUAAUGUGGAGGAGUAAGUGGUGAGAGCCCCACAUUCGCUGAUGACACUUAGCUGUGCCAGGUAGUGAAAUGCCAAGCCGCUGGUGAUAAGCUGCGGGAAGAUCUCACCAGGCUGUGCGAGUGGGCAGAGGAGUUGCCAAGGAGGAGCUUCAGUGUGGGCAAGUGCAAGGUGCUGUGUUUGGCAAAAAAUAAUCCCAGCUAUACUUAGAGGCUGGAAGAGGACGGAAGAGGAUAGAAGAAAAUGAAUAAAAAUUGAAAGGACUCCAGAGAGUGAUUCCCACGCCUGAUUCUAAGGCUCACCUGCGCUCUGGCUAACAACACCACAGGCCCUGGCAUGGGCUUGACCCGAGGCCUGGGCACUGCUACUUGGCUGCUUUUUAUUUUCUGCAGGAAUACAGACCCAGUUUCUCCAGAUUUCCUGAUUUUCAAGAGAAGCCCCAAAUCCUGACUUUUAUGUGUAAGUUCCCACUUUUCCUUUUCUUUUCUUUUUUUUUUUUUUGAGGAAGAUUAGCCCUGAGCUAGCUACUGCCAACUCUCUUCGUUUUGCUGAGCAGGACUGGCCCUGAGCUAACAUCCGUGCCCAUCUUCUUCUACUUUCUAUGUGGGACGCCUGCCACAGCAUGGCUUUUGCCAAGCGGUGCCAUGUCUGCACCCGGGAUCCGAACCGGCGAACCCUGGGCUGCCGAGAAGUGGAACGUGCGAACUUAACUGCUGCGCCACCGGGCCGGCCCUCUCCUUUUUUUUUUUGGUCACUUUUUAUUUCAAUAUAGUGUCAAGCCUAUAGAAAAAAAUGCAAGGAUGGCAUAAAGAGCUCCUAUACCCUUUACCCAGAUUCACCAGUUGCUAACAUUUUGCCCAAUUUGCUUUAUCAUUUUAAGUUCCCAAUUUUUGUAAACAUCCCAUGGAUCAAGCUAAAGAAGAAUGUGAAUGGACUUUGGUCCUUAAACCAUCAGCUGGUGACUUCUGAAGCUCAGGCUCCCCUCAGACCAAAUAAAUGAGAAUCUAGGCGGCGGACAUUUGUAUUUUAAAAAAUUUCCUCCAGCUGGUGCUAACGCGCAGCUAGGGCUGAGAACUGUCAUGGUGAUUCCAUUCCCCCUAUUCGUGACUGGCUUAGGGGUGGCCACGUGACCCAGUUGCGGUCAGUGAGAAUAAGGAGAAAGUCUAACGGAGUGCUUCUAAGAAAGGUUUCUUCCCGCUUCAAGAUACACAGGAGAGCGGCAGCUCUCCUGUUAGGUGCUGUCUCUGCAUUUGAUGGAUACUGGCCUAAGGAUGCAAGUGUGAAAACACGGAAAGACUGUGGGUCUUUAAAUUUAUCUUUGAGCUGCUGAAUUAACUAAGCUUGGGGCCCGUUUAUCUCGAGAUUUCUUUUUAUGGAAGAUACAUUUUUCUUCCUUAGGUUGUUUGGCAGAGAUGACUAGUCACCUGCCGAAGAUCCGUGCAUACCCGUGUUAUGUAGAGUUAGUCCUUGGAAGCAAGUCUCCAGCCACGGAUGACAUUUCCAGCAUCCCCUCCCCUGCAAUCUAGAGGGAACCACGUGACUCGUUCUCACUAAUGGAAUGUGACAUGAAGUGGCUUACUUCUGGGUCAAGGUGGUUAAAUUCAGGUGCCUGAGGGGCUGGCCCCAUGGCCGAGUGGUUAAGUUCGCGCGCUCCGCUGCAGGCGGCCCAGUGUUUCGUCGGUUCGAAUCCUGGGCGCGGACAUGGCACUGCUCGUCAGACCACGCUGAGGCAGCGUCCCACAUGCCACAACUAGAGGAACCCACAACGAAGAAUACACAACUAUGUACCGGGGGGCUUUGGGGAGAAAAAGGAAAAAAUAAAAUCUUGAAAAAAAAAAAAAAUUCAGGUGCCUGAUCCUUCACCUUCUCACCACCACCCCUGUCCCCUUCCCCGAUCUAGCCAGGUGGGUGACAUCAGGGUAACCCUGAAGCCACAAGAUGGCAGGACUAAAAGACAGAAGCAGCUUGGUUCCCUGGUUACAGGCUGGAGCAGAGCCGUCCAGGAGUGCAGCUCGGCCAGGAGCACCUACAUUGGACUUUGCGUGGGCAAAAAAUAAAGGGCUAUUGGGUUAAGCCCUUGAGAUUUGGGGUUUUGUUAUGACAGAUAGUGUAGUCCACCUGACAAAUAGAGUCUAGCUAAGCUAGAAUCAGGUGUUGUUUGCAGCCUAAAGGUUCUUACUGAAAGUUUUGGAGAAGGACCCACGAAGUCCAGACCACCACCUCACAACGGGGCGGUUUGGUUGGUGGUGUUUUUAUUUACAAAGAGGCAAUCAGCAUUCCGCGGAUUUGCUCUAACAUCUAGGAGUUGCUUGCCUUCAGCCUGGUCACCUGACCUUGCCACUGCCAUUAUGGUGGCUUUGAUCCUAGACUGAGGAUUUAGCAGCUUUCAGUCUCUGCCACUUGGCUGCUGGUCUCUGGUUGUUUCUCCGUCUCGGCUCCUCCUGAACUGAGCUGCGUUUGAGGUUCCGCUCUCCCUUCUGUAAACAUUCUGACUAAAUACCGUUCUGGUCCAACUGUCUU
rnacentral:lncRNA from 1 species